rnacentral:rRNA from 1 species
CCUACGGGUGGCAGCAGUGAGGAAUAUUGGUCAAUGGGCGGAAGCCUGAACCAGCCAAGUCGCGUGAGGGAUUAAGGCCCUGCGGGUCGUAAACCUCUUUUGCCUGGGAGCAGAGGUCCGGACGUGUCCGGGCCGGGAGAGUACCCGGAGAAAAAGCAUCGGCUAACUCCGUGCCAGCAGCCGCGGUAAUACGGGGGCUGCGAGCGUUAUCCGGAUUUAUUGGGGUUAAAGGGUGCGUAGGCGGGCAUUUAAGCCGGCGGUCAAAUGUCGGGGAUCAACCCCGGCCUGCCGUCGGAACUGGGUGCCUUGAGUGGGCGAGAAGUAUGCGGAAUGCGUGGUGUAGCGGUGAAAUGCAUAGAUAUCACGCAGAACCCCGAUUGCGAAGGCAGCAUACCGGCGCCCUACUGACGCUGAGGCACGAAAGUGCGGGUAUCGAACAGGAUUAGAUACCCGGGUAGUC